GGUUCUUGAGUCAGCAUCACUUUGGGUAUUUGAGAAGAGGUUGUCUGUGAUGAGUUCGCUUUAUUAAUGACGAAUAUAACACAGAUGGCCUGUUUUCAGUACCACCUGGCACUCG
rnacentral:pre_miRNA from 1 species